rnacentral:rRNA from 1 species
AAACAUCGCCUCUUGCCACCUAUAAGAGGUCCAGCCUGCCCAGUGACUCUGUUCAACGGCCGCGGUAUCCUAACCGUGCGAAGGUAGCGUAAUCACUUGUUCUUUAAAUGAGGACUAGUAUGAAUGGCAUCACGAGGGUUAUACUGUCUCCUUUUUCUGAUCAGUGAAACUAAUCUUCCCGUGAAGAAGCGGGAGUAAACGUAUAAGACGAGAAGACCCUAUGGAGCUUUAAACUCAAUAACACUUGCUUUUAAACAUGAACACUUCAGAGUAAUAAAUACCUAUUACGGCCUCCUGAUUAUUAGUUUUAGGUUGGGGUGACCGCGGAGCAAAAAACAACCUCCACAUUGAACGGGGAAAAAUCCCCUGAGCCACGAGCUACAACUCUAUGCACCAAUAAAUUGACAUUUCUUGACCCAAUAUAUUGAUCAACGAACCAAGUUACCCUAGGGAUAACAGCGCAAUUCGCCUCAAGAGCUCCUAUCGACAGGCGGGUUUACGACCUCGAUGUUGGAUCAGGGUAUCCCAGUGGUGCAGCCGCUACUAAAGGUNCGUUUGUUCAACGAUUAAAACCCUACGUGAUCNGA